CUACGGGGGGCAGCAGGCGCGAAACCUUUACAAUGUACGUAAGUGCGAUAAGGGAACUCCCAGUGCUCAUGCAUUGCAUGGGCUUUUGUCAAGUGUAAAUAACUUGGCGAAUAAGUGGUGGGUAAGACGGGUGCCAGCCGCCGCGGUAACACCUGCGCCACGAGUGGUGAUCAUGUUUAUUGGGCCUAAAGCGUUCGUAGCCGGAUAAGUCAGUCUUGGGUGAAAUCGUUGCGCUUAACAAAACGACGUGCUUGAGAUACUGCUAAUCUAGGGACCGGGAGGAGUUAGGGGUAUUUCUGAGGGAGCGGUAAAAUGCUAUAAUCUCAGGAGGACCACCUGUGGCGAAGGCGCCUAACUAGAACGGGUCCGACGGUGAGGAACGAAAGCUAGGGGAGCAAAACGGAUUAGAUACCCUGGUAGUC
rnacentral:rRNA from 1 species